GGUCAUGGAUUAAGCCAUGCAAGUGUUAGUUCAGGCAACGAAACUGCGAAUGGCUCAUUAAUACACUGAGAAUCUAUUUGAUGGCGAUCACAAGUGGUCUUAUAUGGAUAGCAGGAGCAAAUCUCGUGCUAAUACAUGCAAGUGUUUCUCCAGAAGUGAAUUAUGGAGGAAAAGUUGACCCUACGGGCACAUCAUUCGACUCAGUGACCUAUCAGCUUGUACUUAGGAUCUGUACCUAGGUAGGCUAUCACGGGUAACGGGCGGUUACCGUCGGACUGCCGGAGAAGGCGCCUGAGAGAUAGCGACUAUGUCCACGGGCAGCAGCAGGCGCGAAACUUUCCCACUCGAAACUCUCGGAGGAGGUAAUGACCAGUUCCGUUUUUGGCCAUAUGGCCAGAAUGGGUAGGAUGCCGCCUUUCCAGCGGCGUGAAAUCUAGCAGAGGGCCAGUCUGGUGCCAGCAGCUGCGGUAAUUCCAGCUCUGCAAGUUUGCUCCCAUAUUGUUGCAGUUAAAACGCCCGUAGUCUGAAUUUGCUCGUAAAAGAGUAGUAAUCCACGAAGCCUGUAAAAGGGCUGAAGAGGAGUUCACUGUGAACAAAUCAGGACGCUUAGCGUAUUCUUAAUAGAAUGAAUGACUCAGCGCAGUAUGAAAUAUUUACCGAAAAGGUAAGAUCAAAGAGAGCCAUCGGGGGUAAAUCUAUUCCAUGGCGAGCGGUGGAAUGCACUGACCCAUGUGGAGAGAAACAAAAGCGAAGGCAUUUACCUAGAGGGUUUCUGUCGAUCAAGGGCGAGAGUAGGAGUAUCCAACCGGAUCAGAGACCCGGGUAGUUCCUACUAUAAACGAUGCCGACAGGGGCUUGUUCUUUCAUUAUAAGGAGAGCAGGACCUUAGGAGAAAUCAGUAGUUCAUGGGCUCUGGGGGAACUACGACCACAAGGCUGAAACUUGAAGGAAUUGACGGAAGGGCACACCAGGGGUGGAGCCUGUGGCUUAAUUUGAAUCAACACGGGGAAACUUACCAGAACCAGAUGUUUUUAGUGACUGACAGGCUAGGGGUCUUUCAGGAUAUGACUUUUGGUGGUGCAUGGCCGUUGGUGGUGCGUGGGUUGACCUGUCUAGCGUUGAUUCAGCUAACGAGCGAGAUUAUCGCCAAUUACUUAGACUGCGGCAUUUAUGUCUAUGCAGUUUCUUCUAAUUGGGACUCCCUGCGAUUAAGCAGGAGGAAGAGGGUAGCAAUAACAGGUCCGUGAUGUCCUUUAGAUGCUCUGGGCUGCACGCGUGCUACAAUGUUAGUCACAAAGGGAAGCUCGCCUGAUAGGGUUAGCUACUCCCAGAAUGUCUAACGUAGUUGGGAUUGAUGAUUGUAAUCAUCAUCAUGAACCAGGAAUCCCUUGUAAAUGUGUGUCAACAUCGCACGUUGAAUACGUCCCUGCCCUUUGUACACACCGCCCGUCGCUCCUACCGAUUGGAUGACUCGGUGAAAUCGUCUGGACCUUCUUCGGAGGGGAAAGCAAUUAAAUCACGUUAUCUAGAGGAAGGAGAAG
rnacentral:rRNA from 1 species